ensembl:lncRNA
AGGGAGCGAGAGUGAGCAGCUGCUGUUAAUUCGGAGCCCAGUAGGCCUCUCAAGGGCAUUGGAAAUCCAGAAGCAGCUCUGGGAGCUCCACCUAACUACUCCGUCCUGCUCUUCCUUAGCUUCUGCUUGCCUUGCCUUACAGACAAUCCCACAAUGGCUGCAUGAAGAAUCCCAGCCGGAAUACCCACCCCCACACUUCCUCGCCCUUUGAAGAAGCAAACCAAGAUGGAUAACAGGUCACACCUUUUUUCCCAGUCCAGGUACCGCGCAUGUGCAGUGCCCGCAGUUGCCAGAAGAGGGCAUCAGAUCCCCUGGAUCUGGAUUUCCGGAUGGCUGAGCUAUCCCGUGAGUGCUGAGAUUCUAACCUGGGUACUCCAAUUGCUGAACUCCGGGGCCGGUCAGUCACUUUACAGUGAGAACGUUGAUGACGUUUGUGAAAUGGCUAUCAUUAGGAGACGAGACUCCACAAAUCCUGCUUGCUUAGCGCCUUCUGGCACUGUGAGAGCUAGUACUCAAGAAGUCUUCCAGGUUAGUAACAACCUUAUUUCUCCAAGUCCUGUGACCAAGUGUGUGUGAUGUCUUCAAUGAGAUGUUUUCUUCAAAUUAGGGCAGGCAACGAAAGGCAGGCUACUAAAGCCUAUGUUGUCUGGAUGCCUCUGGAUGCCCCUGGCCAAUAAUCAGAGAGGAGGCAUCUCUUUCCAGGCACUGGG